ensembl:lncRNA
AUUUUCUAGAUUUGUUGUACCACAGAAUGAGUCACCUGAACUACUGAACAAAAGAAAGAGAUUUAUUCUGAAUUUACAUUUGCAAACUGCUCUCCACCGUAAAGAGACACUGCAAUCAUCUAUGAAGAUCCUGCUGUCAUUUGUGAAUUAUGAGAAAUCUGAUUUCCUGCUGGAUCUGUACUCCUAUGUGAAGGACUAUGAGAGUCAAACAGGCAGGAGUGUCUUUCCAGCAUUACAGCCAAUUUAUCAGUCAGCUCCUGCAGUCUGGAGAAUAAAGCUCUCAGAGAGAAAGAGCUCCAUCCUCCUAGAAGUGCUGAAACUCCAAACAGAGAAGAAACCAGUAGAGCUGAUAGACUGGACAGAUGAAGAGAGUGAAGUGAAGGGAUUCCUCCAGUGUCUGCCCCACAUCUCACAGCUGAGAUUUCUUCCCUUUGAUUUAUAUGAGAAGAAUAGAUCUGUCCUGUUUCUAGUGAAGCUGAUUGUUGCAGUAUCAGAGUUUGAUAAAACCACUGGAGAAAAUUACACGGAUCUGUUCUCAUCUGUGUGCUGCUUCACAUCUUUCCCCUUUGAUGAGAAGUAUUUUGAUGAUUGCAUGGGUCAGAUGAAUCAGUGUGAUUUUCUGCUGGAUCUGUGUUCACAUCUGAAGGACUAUGAGACUCAAACAGGCAGGAGUGUCCUUCCAGCAUUACAGCCAAUUUAUCAGUCAGCUCCUGCAGUCUGGAGAAUAAAGCUCUCAGAGAGAAAGAGCUCCAUCCUCCUAGAAGUGCUGAAACUCCAAACAGAGAAGAAACCAGUAGAGCUGAUAGACUGGACAGAUGAAGAGAGUGAAGUGAAGGGAAUCCUCCAGUGUCUGCCUCACAUCUCACAGCUGAGGAAUGCUGAGCAGUACUUCCCAUCACUAUGUAAAGUGUCCAGUGUCAAGGCAGAUCAGGUGACUCCUCUGCUCCAGGCUUUGAAUUUCACCAUCACUCUGAGUGGAAAAUUACCCAGCAGCACCUGCAGAUCUGUGGGGAGAGUUCUGGGCCUUUCACCCUCAAAAUUAAACCUGACUCUAAAGCCACAAGCCAUCUCUGUCAGAGAACUCAAACUGCUCUUCAAACACAUCAAACACCUGCAGAAGCUGAGUGUGGAAGGCAAAAUGUUAUUGAAGAUGGUCAGAGCACUGAGGUCAUUGAAUGGUUCUUUUACACUGACCACAGAGGAGCUUUCACUGGUCACAAAAGACUCUGAGCAAAAUCUCUCUCAUAUUCUGAGCAGCUUGACGUCUCUUCUGAGUCUGUUGUCUGUCCAGUGUUUGGAUCUUACUGAAUGUAAAUUAGAGGCUCUGUCUCUCACGACCCUGUUGGGUCUCCAGAAACCCCUGACUAUCAGGCUCUCUAAAGAGGUUCUUCAGCAGCUGGUUUCAGUGGUGUAUGAAGCACAGGAUGAUGGACUGGCACGCUCCUUCCUGGAGAAGGUGUCUAAUGAUCUGACUUCCUGCUCACUAAACUGGGAAGUGAUUCAUUACCUGCUGCAACAUCAAAUGCAAAAUAUCAAGUUGGACUUCAGCAAGAGCAAAAUACCUUGUGAAAACAUCAUAGAACUUUUGCCUUGGUUAGGCAGAAUCCAGUGGAAAAGGUUGAGCCCCAGCUUUAAUCUGUCCAUCAUUAUGGAGAUUUACGAGACUCGUUUCCCUCAGUAUGUGUCCAGUCUGAUGACUUCAGCAGGAAAUUAA